rnacentral:rRNA from 1 species
GCCGAAGAAGGACGGGACUAACACCGAUAUGCUUUGGGGAGCUGUACGUAAGCGUUGAUCCAGAGAUUUCCGAAUGGGGGAACCCACUAUCUUUAGUCGGAUAGUAUCCUUACGUGAAUACAUAGCGUGAGGAAGGCAGACCCAGGGAACUGAAACAUCUAAGUACCUGGAGGAAGAGAAAGAAAAAUCGAUUUCCUGAGUAGCGGCGAGCGAAACGGAAAGAGCCCAAACCAAGAAGCUUGCUUCUU